AGCUUGCUCUCAUAAUUAUAUUCUUUUUGACUGGUGACUUCGUUGAUGUCUGUGUGUCUUUUCUCACAAUUUGUGCUCUAUUGUGCCCUAAAUACGGUGAUAUACCCCCGAAAUAGCCAUAGGUGUUCUGUGUUUGUGUUCCACCUAUACUCGUAAUCCACUGUAAAUGAUGUUUAUGGUUUGACUUUACUGAUGUUACCUGCGGAAUGGUGAAA